rnacentral:misc_RNA from 1 species
UUCUUUUGUUGGUGAAAUAAUUGUAUUGGUAGAAUUCAUGGCAUUUUAUUUUAUUUAUAUUAGCUGUGUCCAAGUUCCAAGUGGUAUAGGUCCUGCAUUGUUCAUUAUGUGAUUAGCACCUCCACUAAAUUAAGACUAGGUUGGGGUUGUGAAGUUAAGAGAACCAACACUUGUAUUUUCAGUUUGCUUGAGAAAAAAAUUGUUAUAAAUCACCAACUAAAGGGGUGAACUAAAACAUGUUCUUGAUUGUGUUCUAUAAACAGAGCUGAAAAUGAUGUGAACAAAUUGAAUUUUGUUGAGCUACUGAUGAGUGCGGCUCAUGCUGAAUUUGCAUGCUUAUGAAGUAUUUUAUGGAAUGGAGCAUUAAUAGAUGCAAAUGAACCCUGGUUCAUAGGUGCACAUCAUUGUGGUUUGGAAUCUCUUUUUUUGAUUUGCUAUGUUGAAUUUGAGGUUGGGUUAAAGCUCUCUGGACACAAAAUAAAGUCCAGUCAUGUGAUUUGAAUGUUGUUAUUUGCUACAGCCAUACCUUCAU